rnacentral:rRNA from 1 species
AGCGAACGCUGGCGGCGUGCUUAACACAUGCAAGUCGAGGGAGAACGGAGGGCUUCGGCCUUCUUAGUAAACCGGCGCACGGGUGAGUAACACGUAGGUAACCUACCUCCGAGUUCGGGAUAACCUGUCGAAAGAUAGGCUAAUACCGGAUAAGACCACGAUGGCUUCGGCCACUGCGGUCAAAGAUGGCCUCUAUUUAUACGCUAUCGCUUGGGGAUGGGCCUGCGCACCAUUAGCUAGUUGGUGAGGUAACGGCUCACCAAGGCUACGAUGGUUAGUUGGUCGGAGAGGAGGACCAGCCACGCUGGGACUGAGACACGGCCCAGACUCCUACGGGAGGCAGCAGUGGGGAAUAUUGCGCAAUGGGGGAAACCCUGACGCAGCGACGCCGCGUGGGUGAUGAAGGCCUUCGGGUCGUAAAGCCCUGUCGGAGGGGAAGAAGGACUCUCGUGCAAAUAGUUCGAGGGUUUGACGGUACCCUUAGAGGUAGCACCGGCUAACUCCGUGCCAGCCGCCGCCGUAAUAC